rnacentral:lncRNA from 1 species
CAAAAUAAAAACAGCUGUGAAGAGAGCCCGUGAAAAGGACAAGAGUCCUCCUCAUGCUUGCCUUUCAGCCCUCCAGCUUUUGGAGACACUCGGCCACUUCAGUUGCUUUCCCUCCCCCGCUUCCCUUUUCGGCUUGCCAGGGAACACGAUACCUGCCACCCGGCAUAGGCUUCCAUCCCCUGACGCCCAAGGAAACCACCCAGGUCCUGAUUAGGGCCGGCCCUCUGGCUCCGCACGGGUGUCUGUCAUUUCAGAUGGGCUCUGUGGCGGGACCAAUCACACAGAUGCGAGCCACAGGGAUGCCAGAGAGUCUAUUUUCAAGAGACUGGUCUGGGAGCAAGUCACAGACAAAACCAGAGAACACAACCCAUCGCCCCAGAACGCCACUUUUCAGCUCCCGAUGGGUUUGGCCUCGAUCCUCCCUGUUUUUGUGGUCCAGGAGAGAUGCCCACAUACUGGGGGGUGGAGGAGCUGGACGAGGAGCAUUUCAGACUGAGCUCCUUCUCAGCAAGCUUCUAGAAGCUGUUUGCUUUCUUCCGUCUUUUGAAAAUACAGCCAUGCAGGCCCAGAGGCAACCCUCUGCUGACUAUGGGACUCAGGGGCCUGUCCCUGGCUGGGCCGAGGACCCAGAGCUGGCCCAGGAAAGGAGAGAGCGGUGCAGACAUCCAGCCUCAAAUGCUCUCUGGGACGAGGAGGGAGGACCAG